rnacentral:lncRNA from 10 species
CCUGAGGUCGCUGGGAAGAAGCAACACAUUUCCCUGUCCAGUGGCAACUACCUCCUCAUCACCUAAUCCCUGCGCCCGGAGCACAAACUCAUCCUAAGCAAAGGCAACUGAGCAGCUGUUUUCCUGUUCACCCCACCUCAGGUCCUCACUACUUUCCUACCGAUACCAUUCUAAGUUCCCAACGCAUUUUGUGAAAUAGAGAUACUUCUUCUUGAAUUACAACCAGAAAAUUUGGAGAGGUUGAAGAACUUGCCUACAGUCACCCAGUAAGGAGGUGGAGCCAGGAUUCAAACUCUGGUCUGAUUCUCGGCCCUGGUGGACACUGGCUUUCAGAGCUGUAACUUGCAGUUUUGGUGCCCAGAACCUGCAGCACAAAAGCUCCGCAAAUGACUUUGUGAUUUAUUAUGAAACUCAAAGAAAGAACAAGCUUCCUACUUUAAUUUUCCUUGCUAAUGACAGUUUUCAGCUGAAGAAAUCCAUGUGCUGUCAACAUGUAAAUAUAACCUUUUUUUUUUUCCAAUGUCUGUUCCCGGGACAGAGCCUCCCAGUAGGCCUUGCACUGUGCUGCAUGUGGUCCCUGGAGUUUUACAGCCUCACUACAGACACAAAACAGAGUGGUUAACACAAGCAAUCCUGAAUUGCAUAAAUGUGCUGGAUGCCCAUGCUAGACUAAGAAAGUUCUUCGUAUUCAGGAGAAACACUGUGGCCCUGAGAGGCCAGGGAAGGCCACGUGGAAGAGGAGAGUCCAUGGGUGGGUAGGAUUUAGGACCAGGGGAGAAGAAUUGCAAGCAAGAGCUGGAAAUAUACAGUUGAGGCUGGGAAGAGCUCACACUGAGAAGUGGCAACACAUAAAGUUGGAAAAGUAGGUUGGAGCCAAAUUGCUCAGGAUUUUAAGUGCCAGAAGGAGGAAUUGGAGAAUGGAAGCUGGGAGACCAGGCAGGAAACAGCUGUUCUCCAGGAGAGAGAGAGCAAGGGUCUGUCCCAAAGUGGGAGCACAGGUAGGAAACAAUUGAGAGGCAUUUUGAAGGAUGAAGGCUCCUCUGUCUCCUGUGCCCAGGAGCCCUGCCCUCUGCUAGGCUCUGGGACUAGUAAUGCUGAUUAACUGAUCUGCCAGUGGAUGCAUUGGCCCUCCCUGAUGACCCGGCACCCUUCUUGGAGAAGAGUGGGACUCUGGCCCCCUAUCCCUCCAUGUUCAAUUGCCCACAUCACUCAACUCUUCCUGUCCACCACACUUACCCUCCCAAGUGUAUUUCCUCAUCUGCAAAAACAGCAUGAGAAAGCUCCUCCUUCCUAAGUUUAUUGUGAGGUUGAAUAAGGUCAUGCGUGGAAGAUGCAAAGCACAGGGCCUGGCGCUUGUAACCGCUCAGCAGAUGGGAACCGCCAGCAUAAAUAUUCUGCACCCUUGGUCAGCUGGGACCCAUUAUUGAGAGUGGCUAUUCUCGUCUCUCUCUAUGAAAUGUUAGACACUAGCAGACAGCUGAAGGUGAAAUCAAGCAAGUUUGAACUGUGGUCUCUCUCUGGGGCUCCUUGUCAGCUGGAUUCCAAAGAAGAUAAAUAAAUUAUAUUUGCACCUAUCAUCUUUUCAAAUAUCUUUG